rnacentral:rRNA from 1 species
UACGUAGGCAGCGAGCGUUGUUCGGAGUUACUGGGCGUAAAGGGUGUGUAGGCGGUUGUUUUAAGUUUGGUGUGAAAUCUCCCGGCUCAACUGGGAGGGUGCGCCGAAUACUGAAUGACUUGGAGUGCGGGAGAGGAGAGUGGAAUUCCUGGUGUAGCGGUGAAAAUGCGUAGAGAUCAGGAAGAACACCGGUGGCGAAAGCGUUCUGCUAGACCCUGUACUGACACUGAGGGACGAAAGCUAGGGGGAGCGAAUGGG